rnacentral:lncRNA from 1 species
UUGCUUUUCAAUCAAGUUAUCUGAAAACUACAGGCAACGGGAUCACUAGACUGUUGCGAGGAUACUCAACUCACGUCUCUGAAAGUAUGUAUUCUUUCUGGUUCCUUUAGAUGACCUUGAAGAAAUCCUUCAGAGAACUGAGCUGGAGACUUGAUGAAAAUGAGCACUUGGACGUUCACAUAUUCUGGAAGUUACUGUUGCUGUGAUAAGCACAAAGGAUCCAUUUUUAGCAAAGGAUAUUGGAAGAUAUCAGGCUGGAGGAGGUUUGAUGAGCAUGGCUUCCCAGGUCUUGCCAGUUCCUCAGAGAUGUGCUCGGCAGACACAGCAGACACUCCCUCACAGCACACUCCUGGCACCAGGGUGCACCGUCCACGCCCCAGGCUCCGACUUCCCACCACUUCCUUUGGAAUCUCCAUGACUCAGCGCCACUUCCCUCAUCCCAUCAUGGGGCAUGGCAUGCCUGAUUCCAAGAGAUGGACUUUGUUGAUGUUCCUGGGUUGCCUCAAGAGAGCCUAUUCAUCUGGACCAGGCACCUCUGUUGGUCAACAAGGCUCAGAGAGGAAAAGGUCUAGGAGUUUUCUGGAGAGAAUGGGGAUGAGGAGCCUUAGGCUUAGAGAGGCUAAGUAACUGACCCAUGAUCAUACAGCCAACAAGGGACAAAGACUGGAGCCCCUGCAGCGUGGGGUCAGGCCUACUUUCUUCGUCUACUACUUACAUUUCCAGCUGUUUGAUCACGUUGAGGAGAACUGGAGUGGCUCGUGAAGUUAGCCGCGGCUCGUUCGAUGACUGAGAACUGCUGCAGUGUUGACUUGCUGGUCGUCCUGGUGUCAUGGGCUACUGCCACUAGCGGACAUGAUGAAGACGAGGAAUCCCAGAGAUCUGUGAUUUCAAAAAAUUCCUGGAAGGCCAAAAAGCCCCCCCCGCCAAAACCUGUAAGUUUUAAAAGUUCUCCUACAUGCAUAUUUAUGAACACUUGGAGACACCAUCUUUAAGCCAAAAAAAUGAGGCUGAAUUAACAGAAAUAUGAGAAUAAUUUCAAUAUAGUUUUUUUUGAGCUGCCAACAGCCUCUCAGUGGGGCUUUGAGCCAAUCUGAUGGAGUAUGUAUGAGUAGAAAGGAAAAAAACUCAAUGGAUGUCGUUCGGUUGUUUUAAUGAGUCUUGAAUCCAGUGGACUAAGUGAAGAUUCAUCUGAUUUAAUUGAGUGACACUAAUUGGUGAAGAGAAGGC